rnacentral:sRNA from 1 species
GAUGUACAAAAAAUAAAAGCUGUGUGA